CACGCACGUGGAGGUUGGUUAAAGGGAAGACUGGGUUUUAGUCCUGUCUCCAUCAACCUCAAGAUAUGGGACCUCAUGGAAGGGAGGGGAGGCAAUGCCGAGGAUGUGCUCCUGAGCAGGUGCCACAAUUCUUCACCUAUAAGGCUGAUCUAAGAAGAUUCCUAAUUAUCAAUUGGGAGCAGAGAUAUUCCACUUCCAAUUACAUGGCCCUGCCUGCUCACUCUUACUUCCUAUUCACACUCUCUUGGAGGCCACUUUGUGAUUCUACCAAAUCCUAUAGGAGAGGUGACAACCCCAAAGAGAAGGCUCUAGAAAGAUGACAUUUGGAAAUGUGUACGCUAGUGUCUGCUGGCUCCUCCCGAGCCACUUUUACUCUGUGAUUGAGAUGAAAGGCCACCUAACUGCCUAAAUCACCACAAAGGGACAAACUGGUAUCUCAGAGCACUCAGCAACAAAAACAAGCAAGCUAAGCCUCUGCACUGCAAUGUGGCAGGGCUUCUGGCUAGGUAUAGCAAGCAAUUCUGAUGUGGAGACAAACAGCAGCAAUGGAAAUGAUAUGCCAAUGAAGGAUUCCAACAGUUGGGUCUGCAAGCAUGCUUGUCCUGUGACACAAACAGCCUAGACAUCUCAGCACUGCUUGGAGCUGCUCACUGGGGGAGCCUAAGAAACAUCAGCCCUUUCACAACCUUUUGCUCCUGAGCAGAGCUCAUCUCCCAAGAGCACAUCAGCCCGCAGCCCAGUCUGACGAGAAGCACAGUAUUCCCCUGUGCCAGUGGCAGCCUCAGAGCAUCCUGAAAGAGCGCUUCCUAGACACGCAGUGGAAGCCAUGACUUCCCCUAAGCUGCCGGUGCUGCCUCUGAACUCACGUGGAGGUUCUUUUUUCAGUGUCCCCAGGGGCAGCAGAAAAAUCCGUUUUCCAUUUUGGAAUCUAUCAAGUAGGACAAAUCUGCCACCUGGGAGCAUCUCCUCAAGGGCAAUCUCUACUCCCUUUCCUACAUGGCCUGACAAUACCAUCGAGUUAGAAAUGUCCCAUGUUGGCUAGGCACAGUAGCUCAUGCCUGUAAUCCCAGCACUUUGGGAGGCUGAGGUGGGAGGAUUGCUUGAGGCCAGGAGUUUGAGACCAGCCUGGCAUAGAGAGACUAUGCCUCUAUUAUUUUAAAAAAAGAAAUGUCUCAUAUUUUUACCCUCUUCACUCAUCUUUCUACCUUGCUCCAAUAGAUUGCUGACAGAAAAGUGAGACCUCCUCCACCCCAAGGUCUCCUAAGAGAAUGCUGCUAGCCAAAAAAAGAUCUGCUGAUAAUUGAGGAACAGCAUCUUUAAAAAGACACUCAACUACAUUUCAGAAACAUAAAGAUCUAAGUGUUCGCUCUAUGAGGGAAGAAAUAAAGAGAAAGAACUUUUUUUUCCUCCUACAACAGGUCUAGACAACGUCACACAAGGAGUUGCACGCAUAUCCAAAACAAAAGCAAGGCAAAAACAAGCAAAAAAGCAACAAAUGCAUUCCAAAAUGAUGUCCAUUUAUCAGUCCAGAAAUGUACUGGAUACUGGUUUAGUUCAGCCUGUAGGUGCUGGGAAGAAAUUCACAAAUCCAAGUCAGUUGCAAAAAGGGAAAACUCCAGACAUAUCACCCAAUGAACUUGUAAGAAAGCAUAUGAGCUUCCCUGAACAGAUUUUACUCCAGGUUUGCAGCCCGCAAGGUUUAAGAUCGGGCCAUGAGGUUCAAUCUUGUAAACUCA
rnacentral:antisense_RNA from 1 species